GGCAUUUGAACCCCAAGCAAUAUUUUUUUUAAUAAGUGUGAUCAAGUAAUUUGCUAACUCUCCGUUCAAAAAAAAAAAAAGUAACUUGCUAAUUUUUCCCCCACUUUCAUUUUUUCUUUGCAGGCAAGGGCUUGUUACUGAGACUCAUUGUCAAAACUAAUUUCUUUUUCAUAGUUUGUCCAAUCUUUUUAAUCCUACUAUGAUAAAGGAGUUGAGCAGAUGGAUCACAAAGUUGGGGUGUUGAGGAGUCAACUUUAUAGAGCCAAGAGGAAAGCACAGAUGCAGUCAUCAAGAACACUAUGAAAAGGUGUGGAAUUGCUGUGAAGAACUUAGAAGAACAAAUCCAGGGUCAAAAAAUGCAACCAAUUAUCAAUUAUACUACUUUCAAGCAACAACCAAAGUUCAAGGGUAAAAUUAAUGCAGGUUAAUUGUACUUUUCACUUAUGUAAUUUGACCCAAAUUUCAUUUUAAUGCCUAUAGUUUCAAUUUGAAUAA